rnacentral:rRNA from 1 species
UACAGAGGGGGCAAGCGUUGUUCGGAAUUACUGGGCGUAAAGGGCGCGUAGGCGGUGGAUCAAGUCAGGCGUGAAAGCCCCGGGCUCAACCUGGGAACCGCGCUUGAGACUGGUGCGCUAGAGUUCGGGAGAGGAUGGUGGAAUUCCCAGUGUAGAGGUGAAAUUCGUAGAUAUUGGGAAGAACACUGAUGGCGAAGGCAGCCAUCUGGACCGACACUGACGCUGAGGCGCGAAAGCGUGGGAAGCAAACAGG